rnacentral:rRNA from 1 species
GACGAACGCUGGCGGCGUGCUUAACACAUGCAAGUCGAACGGAAAGGCCCUGCUUUUGUGGGGUGCUCGAGUGGCGAACGGGUGAGUAACACGUGAGUAACCUGCCCUUGACUUUGGGAUAACUUCAGGAAACUGGGGCUAAUACCGGAUAGGAGCUCCUGCUGCAUGGUGGGGGUUGGAAAGUUUCGGCGGUUGGGGAUGGACUCGCGGCUUAUCAGCUUGUUGGUGGGGUAGUGGCUUACCAAGGCUUUGACGGGUAGCCGGCAUGAGAGGGUGACCGGCCACAUUGGGACUGCGGUACGGCCCAGACUCCUACGGGAGGCAGCAGUGGGGAAUAUUGCACAAUGGGCGGAAGCCUGAUGCAGCAACGCCGCGUGCGGGAUGACGGCCUUCGGGUUGUAAACCGCUUUCGCCUGUGACGAGGCGUGAGUGACGGUAAUGGGUAAAGAAGCACCGGCUAACUACGUG